GAAGGUUGGCUAGCGUUGUUCGGUGUCACUGGGCUUAAAGCGUGUGUAGGCGGAAAUGUAAGCGUCAUGUGAAAUCCCUCGGCUUAACCGAGGAAUUGCUUGGCGAACUAUGUUUCUUGAGGCAAGUAGGGGUGCAUGGAACUCUUGGUGGAGCGGUGGAAUGCGUAGAUAUCAAGAGGAACGCCAAUGGAGAAAUCAGUGCACUGGGCUUGUCCUGACGCUGAGACACGAAGGGCGUGGGGAGCGAACGGGAUUAGAUACCCCGGUAGUCCACGCUGUAAACGAUGUCUACUAGGUUGUGGCCGUUCUGACACGGUCGCGGCCGAAGCAAAAGUGUUAAGUAGACCCGCCCUGGGAGUACGGUCGCAAGGCUA
rnacentral:rRNA from 1 species